CCAGGGACUCACCCACACCAGGGCGUACUUGAACUGGCUGGCGAGUGACCGGUGGAUGCGGUGGCACUGGAGGACAGGAGAGAGUCAGGUAGAGAGGUCUUCCAGGCUCUGGUGGGAGACCCAACGCCUCAGCCCAGCGUCCCUGGGGUGGAGGCCAGCGCCAGGCCUGCAGGAACACUUCCCUGACACAGAUGGGAAGGUGGCUGACUCUGGUCUGCAGAUGGGUUUUGUUUUACUCAGCUUGCCCAGCAUUGCCACUUGAUACAGAUCCCAAGAAGAAAUGAGCUUGAGGAAAACACCACCAGGAAAGCAUCAGCCCAGGAGGACGGCCACGUGACCCGAAGGUUGGCCACCAUCUGUGCCUGCAGGGUCAUGUUCAGGUGACAGAAUCCUGGACAGGGAAAGGCAGCCUCUUGCUCCCUGAGCCCAGAACACCUCCCCUGGGGCCUGUGCAUGCCUGCUUCCCUAACCGGGAUGCUCCCCACCCCAACUCUUCACUGCCAGACCCACUAGUCCUAUAAGCCAGCUCAAGUUGCCUCCUUGAAGCCGCUGUCCUGACCUCUGUGUUGAGCUGGUGCCACUCCUCACUCUCCUUGACUGAUGCCUGAAUGGCAUGGAAGCAGGGUUACUGGCAUCUCUGCAGAGCCAGGCAGCAUGCUGAGUGCCCUACACACUGGACCUCAUUCAACGUGUCCUCCUGACUACCCGGGGGGGGGGGCAGGCAGCACACCCCCCUCACAGGAGAGGUCAGAGGCUCGGCACACGGCUAAGAAGGGGUGCUGCAGAUGCAGCCCCAGGCUGUCCAACUCCAGAGCCUGCGUUGACAUCUGAGAGUAAGACCAGCAGAGCCCACCCCUGGCCCAGGGCACCUCAGGCAGAACAGAGCCCCAAAGGGAAUGCAGAGCUCCCACCCCUUGUCACGGCAGGUCUUGUCAACUCACCACGUGC